rnacentral:lncRNA from 1 species
AUGGAUAUAGCUCCAAAUAUGUCUAAUGAACAAAAAGAAAAAGAAAAAGGAGUAAAGAAUAAGGAAAAAUUAAUAAUAAAAGAUAUAGAAAAUACAAAUAAUAAUGGUAGUAAUAUGAAGGAGACAGAUAGUAUAUCUAAUAAUAACAAAAAUAAUGUUACUAGAAUAGACACAAGUGGUUCAAACAAUGUAAGUAGUUUGAACAAUAAGAACGAAACGAAUCAGAUUAUAACUAAUAAAAUGAAAUUAAAAAAGAGUAGUAAAAAUAGGAACAAUAUAUGUGAUAAUGUUAAUAUUAUUAAUUUAAAUAAAAGAAACGGUUAUAUGUGUGAUAGUAAGCUUAAUAAUAUAAUAGCAGAUAUUGCUAUUGUAGCAUAUGGUGAGAAUAAAACGACUGGUGGAGUUAUGGGGAAUAAUACAAGCAACAGACCUAAUCAUAUAAAAAACAAUAUACAUAAAGAAAAUUUGAAUGAUGAAAAUAAUAAACAAAAAUAUAAUAAUAAUAAUAAUAAUAAUAAUAAUAAUAAUAAUAAACAAAAAUGUAAUAAUAAUAAUAAUAUAGUAAGUAACAUAUUACAUAAUAAACCGAGCAACUUUUUGAAUAAGGGUCUAAGCACGAGUGUGAAUGAUACCAAAGAGUCAGCUACGAAAACUGCUGCGGAUACAAUUACAUGUGGACAAAAAAAAACGAGUUCAACUGAUUCUAAAAGUAGUAUUAAUGGUCAUUUGAUUAAUAACUCAAGCGACAGUAACAAUAACGGCAGUGGUAACAAUGACAGUGGUAAUAACGGCAGUAGUAAUAACGGCAGUGGUAACAAUGACAGUAGUAACAAUGACAGUGGUAACAAUAACAACAAUAGCAACAACGACAGUAAUGAUAAUGAGGAACAAAAAUAUUAUACCAAUUUAAUGAAUUUGAAAACUUUUUUAAAAAAACGAGCGAGUAGGUAUAAUAUUACAAUAGAUGAAAUUAAUGAAAAUAACGAAACUGAUAUUGUUUCUGGUAUAAAUUCUAAGAUGGAGGAUAAAAACAAAAAUUUACGUGAUGAUAUAAAGGAAACAAAUAGCACAAAGGAAAAAAAUGGUAUAAAGGAAAAAAAUGGUACAAUGGACAAUUUAAAUGACAACACAGUAGUUAAUAAUUCAAACCAUAAUAUAUUAAUGAAAAAUAAUCAUACGAAUAUUAACCAGAGGAAUAACCAACAAAUAAAAAAAAAAUUAUAUUGUUACAGAGAAAUAAGAACAUAA